rnacentral:rRNA from 1 species
UGCCUUCGGGAACUCUGAGACAGGUGCUGCAUGGCUGUCGUCAGCUCGUGUUGUGAAAUGUUGGGUUAAGUCCCGCAACGAGCGCAACCCUUAUCCUUUGUUGCCAGCGGUCCGGCCGGGAACUCAAAGGAGACUGCCAGUGAUAAACUGGAGGAAGGUGGGGAUGACGUCAAGUCAUCAUGGCCCUUACGAGUAGGGCUACACACGUGCUACAAUGGCGCAUACAAAGAGAAGCGACCUCGCGAGAGCAAGCGGACCUCAUAAAGUGCGUCGUAGUCCGGAUUGGAGUCUGCAACUCGACUCCAUGAAGUCGGAAUCGCUAGUAAUCGUGGAUCAGAAUGCCACGGUGAAUACGUUCCCGGGCCUUGUACACACCGCCCGUCACACCAUGGGAGUGGGUUGCAAAAGAAGUAGGUAGCUUAACCUUCGGGAGGGCGCUUACCACUUUGUGAUUCAUGACUGGGGUGAAGUCGUAACAAGGUAACCGUAGGGGAACCUGCGGUUGGAUCACCUCCUUA